AUGAUUCUCAUCCCCAAACAUGGAGGGGCAAACCACCCUAGCAAGUUCAGACCGAUCAGCCUCAUACACAGCUUUGCCAAGCUCAUGACAAAAAUCCUAGCAAGACGUCUCCAACCUUUUAUGCCGGAUCUGAUCCUUCCAUGCCAAAAUGCUUUCAUAAAGAGGCACAGCACACAUGACAACUUUGUCUAUGUUCAGAGCCUGACCAGAGCACUCAAACUCAAAAGCACGCCUACCUUCCUGCUCAAGUUGGAUAUUUCAAAAGCGUUCGACUCCACCUCUUGGGAGUUCCUGAUGCAACUGCUUGAACACAGGGGUUUUGGGACAAAGUGGAGAAGUUGGAUUGCGGCGCUUCUCCUUACUUGCUCAACCAAAGUUCUUGUCAAUGGCGAGGCCUCUCCCAGGAUCGACCACAGGAGGGGUUUUCGACAGGGAGACCCUAUCUCGCCUCUCCUUUUUGUCCUGAUCAUGGACUACCUCACGCGAAUCAUGGACAAGGCAAGUUCGGAUGGCAUCCUAACCCCCUUCGAGAACCAUAACAUGAGGCACAUGACCUCAAUCUACGCGGAUGAUGUGAUCAUUUUCUCCAAGCCUAUGACUGAAGACGCGACGGUGAUCAACUCCAUCCUUCACCUUUUUGGAGAUGCGACUGGUCUGCACACCAAUAUGAGCAAAAGCGGUUUCAUGCCGAUCUGCUGCCAGCACCAGGACCUCUCGGGCUUGCAACAGAUCCUAGGUUGCUCACAAGGCUCAUUCCCCUGCACUUACCUUGGCAUGCCUUUGUCAGACAAGAAGCUGCGAAGGGUGGACUUACAGCCGGCGGUCGAUCGCCUUGCUGGCAAGUGCUCCGGUUGGAAGAUCGAUUUGAUUAACCUGAUUGGGAGAGUUGUUCUUGUUCGGGUUGUGCUAUCUGCGAUGCCAACCUUUCAGAUGAUUGCAAUCCCGCAAGCGAAGUGGCUAAACCAGAAGAUUGACAAGAUUCGCCGACCUUUACUCUGGGCUGGCAAGAGCGUGGCUUCAGGCGGAAAAUGUUUGGUAAAUUGGAAUUCCGUCUGCUGA
rnacentral:rRNA from 1 species